rnacentral:rRNA from 1 species
UACGAAGGGGGCUAGCGUUGCUCGGAAUUACUGGGCGUAAAGCGCACGUAGGCGGAUUGUUAAGUCGGGGGUGAAAUCCUGGAGCUCAACUCCAGAACUGCCUUCGAUACUGGCGAUCUCGAGUUCGGGAGAGGUGAGUGGAACUGCGAGUGUAGAGGUGAAAUUCGUAGAUAUUCGCAAGAACACCAGUGGCGAAGGCGCUCAUCUGGCCCAAUACUGACGCUGAGGCGCGAAAGCUAGGGGAGCAAACGGG